rnacentral:rRNA from 1 species
AACGAACGCUGGCGGCGCGCUUAACACAUGCAAGUCGAACGAGAAGGCGUAGCAAUACGCUUGUACAGUGGCGAACGGGUGAGGAAUACAUAGGUAACCUACCCUCGAGUGGGGAUAACCCGACCGAAGGCGGGCUAAUACCGCGUACGCUUCCGAUCUUGCGGGAUUGGAAGGAAAGCUGUCCCUUGGGGAUGGCGCUCAAGGAUGGGCUCAUGUCCUAUCAGCUUGUUGGAGGGUAACGGCCUACCAAGGCAUCGACGGGUAGCUGGUCUGAGAGGACGAUCAGCCACACUGGCACUGCGACACGGGCCAGACUCCUACGGGAGGCAGCAGUGAGGAAUAUUGCGGCAAUGGGCGAAAGACCUGACGCAGCGACGCCGCGUGGGGGAGUGAAGGUCUUC